AUUGAACGCUGGCGGCAGGCCUAACACAUGCAAGUCGAACGGUCUCUUCGGAGGCAGUGGCAGACGGGUGAGUAACGCGUGGGAAUCUACCUAGUUCUACGGAACAACAGAGGGAAACUUCUGCUAAUACCGUAUACGCCCUACGGGGGAAAGAUUUAUCGGAAUUAGAUGAGCCCGCGUAAGAUUAGCUAGUUGGUGGG
rnacentral:rRNA from 1 species